UACGUAGGGGGCAAGCGUUGUCCGGAUUUAUUGGGCGUAAAGAGCGUGUAGGCGGCCAGAUAGGUCAGCUGUGAAAACUCGAGGCUCAACCUCGAGACGUCGGUUGAAACCAUCUGGCUAGAGUCCGGAAGAGGAGAGUGGAAUUCCUGGUGUAGCGGUGAAAUGCGCAGAUAUCAGGAAGAACACCCGUGGCGAAGGCGGCUCUCUGGGACGGUACUGACGCUGAGACGCGAAAGCGUGGGGAGCGAUCCGG
rnacentral:rRNA from 1 species